GGGCCUGUAGCGCAGAGGCAGUCGCGCCUGCAUCGCAUGCAGGAUGACGCCGGUUCGAAUCCGGCCGGGUCCA
rnacentral:tRNA from 1 species